CAGCAGGGUUAGAUUACAAUAUAGAUGCUCAGUGCUAUGUUGUUGUUCCAUCCUCUCAGAGAAGUUUCUUUUCUAACCCUUUCUGCAAGACUUGUGAAUCAGCCAAGGUAUUUCUCACAGAA
rnacentral:snoRNA from 1 species